UACGUAGGGUGCGAGCGUAAAUCGGAAUUACUGGGCGUAAAGCGUGCGCAGGCGGUGAUGUAAGACAGGUGUGAAAUCCCCGGGCUUAACCUGGGAACUGCAUUUGUGACUGCAUCGCUGGAGUGCGGCAGAGGGGGAUGGAAUUCCGCGUGUAGCAGUGAAAUGCGUAGAUAUGCGGAGGAACACCGAUGGCGAAGGCAAUCCCCUGGGCCUGCACUGACGCUCAUGCACGAAAGCGUGGGGAGCAAACAGG
rnacentral:rRNA from 1 species